AAUGCUAUGAUCCUUUAGGCAAGCACAAAGUUGGCAUGCUGCCUAGUUGGGCGGUGUAGGCGCUUGUGCCCUUCACCUUGCAUGGGAAUAAGGGGAGGGGGGAUGCCCCUCGGCCCCUCCCAUUCUCAAAAAGUGUGAUAAUGAGAAAUCGAAAAAUGUUAGAGUAGAAUAUAGUGUUGUGUUGACUAACCAAGAGGAAGUAUGGUCGCCAUCCAGAGGUGGGGGAGAAGUCGAUGUUGGAAAGGAGCCAAGUGUUGUAACCAGUCGCCGUGUGCAGCAUGUGCUAAAAGGAGUUGUUGCAGUCCAGAAGACGUGAUUGGUGUGUGAUAAUCCAGAGGGACAUUAACGCUCGACUGAAUGUUGGAAAUGAGAGGCAGUAAAGGUGUUUGAGGAUGGAGUGGUGGUGGGUAGUGCCGUAACCAGGUUGGACUACUACAUGU